rnacentral:tRNA from 1 species
AAAAUGUAGACGCUGGCGGACUAGCUCUCAGCCUCAGGGAAACUUAGGUUGAAAAAAAUAUAAGUUAUCUAAAGCCAAAUUUUAUAUCUCCACACUCAGAUAGGUGCAGAGACUCGAUGGAAGCUAUCCUAACGCAAAAAAUUUUAAGAGUUAUUUAAUUGAAUUCUUUAAGUUAAUGAAAAUAAAAAAAAAUUUAUGAAUUUUUUUUUAACUAGCAAGCGAGGAUAAAGAUAGAGUCCAAUUUUACAUGUUAAAUUUAGCAACAAUUUAAAUUGUAGUAAAAAGAAAAUCCGUUGGCUUUAUUGACCGUGAGGGUUCAAGUCCCUCUACCCCC